UACAGGAACCAACCUGGACCUGGACUCAGUGGGGAGUCCAAAACAAGUGACAGCUCAGAUGAUUCUUCAAAUAAAUUCAAAAUCAGACAAUCAAGAGUGAAAGAGAUCCAACAGAGACUCAUAUCUAGAUCUGUGUCCUUCAAGAGGGAUGAGUCAAAGGAUUUGAAUCGUAACUUCAAGUCCAUCAGUCCAGCAGAGAAACAAAUCGGACUGAUAUCUGGAUCUGGAUCUGGAUCCAGCUGUGAGUCUUUCAAGAGUGACAGGUCAAUGGGUUAUAUUCCUGACUUCAAGUCCAUCAGUCCAGGAGUGAAACA